rnacentral:rRNA from 1 species
AUUCCAGCUCCAAUAGCGUAUAUUAACAUUGUUGUCGUUAAAAAGCUCGUAGUCGAACUUCGGGCCCUGCAGGCCGGUCCGCCUUCUUGGUGUGUACUUGCUCUGUGGGGCCUUACCUCCUGGUGAACGGCGAUGUCCUUUACUGGGUGUCGUCGCAAACCAGGACGUUUACUUUGAAAAAAUUAGAGUGUUCAAAGCAGGCCUUUGCCCGAAUACAUUAGCAUGGAAUAAUAGAAUAGGACGCGCGUUCCCAUUUUGUUGGUUUCUGAGAUCGCCGUAAUGAUUAAUAGGGAUAGUUGGGGGCAUUUGUAUUCCGUCGUCAGAGGUGAAAUUCUUGGAUUGCCGGAAGACAAACUACUGCGAAAGCAUUUGCCAAGGAUGUUUUCAUCG